UUUUUUUUUUCAAUCUUGCUCUCACCUUGUACUGCAGGUCCAGCAGAACUUCUGUGAUGGCCUUUAGACCCAGAUGCUCCUUCCCAAUCUGAUGAACACACAACACAUUGCAGGUUUCAGUGGGAGGAAGCCCAAACCAAAGGAGCCGUCAGAAACAGAAUGUGUGAGGACGACUGUUAAAACUGUUGCCAAAGCAGGUUGGGCCAUCCGGGAUGAAACCAAAAGCUCCUGCACUGUUCUGCUCAGUGGUCUGCUCACCUCUCCAAACCUGGGCCUGCUGCGAAGAGUUUGUUUCUUUGUUUCUUUGCCUUUGUCCGUAUCAGCCUGUGUCUGUGUUUUCAUUGGCUCAUUUGUGAUCAGAUAGCCCUUUUGUAGCAGCAAAAAAUGAUAUCAUAUAAGCUAUUAUAAUGAGUCAAAGUGGGGAUUUGGUCUUCCCCCUUUGAAUAUAGAAUCUAAUCCAAAUUCUCUCCAUACUGAAACAGUGUAUGUCUUCAGUCUUUUUUACCUGACAAACAUAAACAUAUGUGCUGGGACACACUGUUGAGCCUUCUCAGUGUCAAGGGCUCAAAUUCAACCAAACACUGGUUACUGUAGAUUUAAACCUUACUCUAGGCUUGCUGUGGUGGUCGAUUACAUUGGUGUUACACUGUGGUCGGGUUUAUACCAAUUACAUUACUUGGCCACUGCCUCCAGACCAGGAUUUCAAGACAGCUCUGAUAUAUUGAAUCAGAGAUGAUGUCACCGAUCAGAUGACUCUGCAGAGUUAAACAUCAUUUAACAUGGCUUCAGGGCUUCAAUAAGAAUGCUCAUAAAACUGUACCUUAGUACAUACUUUGACUGUGUAUUGACAACUUAUACCUGUUAUAAUGUUGACAGGACAGUAGAAACAGUGUAGAUGUUAAAUGUUAAAUGUCGGACUAAUGGGAGGGGGGAUGGGAUUAUUAUAUUUCAUAUCUUGUUUAUGUAAUCUAUGUAUCUCUUGUCUGACUAUUUCCAAGAAUACAAAAACAAGUUUAAUCAAAAACCAAUAAAACUAAUCAUCUUUGUCCUGAAAAGAGUUCAAUGAUAUAUUUGGUCAAAUGUAUGUGUUAAACUAAUUUCGAUCUCUGUUCAGUCGUUACAUUUUGAGGGUCUGGCCACUAUGGCAGCCUUCGUGUUCUUG